UUAAAUUGAAGAGUUUGAUCAUGGCUCAGAUUGAACGCUGGCGGCAGGCCUAACACAUGCAAGUCGAACAGUAACAGGAAGAA
rnacentral:rRNA from 1 species